CAAGUGUAAGAGUAUCCUUGACUACAGUUCUACUGGUACAGAUACUAGCAGUGAUUCUUUUACUCUUUCUGACAUACACAUAUCCAUCGAGUAGAAUCAAAUGCCUGCAGUUGGAAAACAAAGCUGAGUUGGAAAUUGGCUCUGUUUAAUCAAAGGUAUAAAGCUUUGUUUAAUCAUUGACAUAAUCAUAAGAACUACUGCUCAGUAUCAGUUGUUUAUCAAUGAGAAACAUAGGCCAAGUGCUGCUUGCCUUAGUCAGAUCAUAUUGUGCUAAGAUGUGAUCUGGUAACUACACCACACUCAUGAGAAUGAAAGAACUUAUCCAUGUAUAAUACCUAUAUGGCUAUAUAGAUCGUAGUUUGCCUAUGUAGGAGUAUGUGCAUUGUGUAUAACAGCCGAUAUGUAUAUAUAUGAAAUUUUGUUAUUCAAUUGCUGCUUAUUAGUAUUAAUUCUGUCGUCUAACAGAUUACAUAUAACUCUAUCUGUUCCAAUACUACCUAAAGUUAUAUCAGUCAUACAUUUGCUAAACAAGUCCUCGAGUUUACAUGAUCCUCCCCAAAGAUUGUACUUAGAUCAAACACAUAACACGUAUUACUAUCCUUAAUAGGUCCUCGACAGAUUACUGCAAGUCCGAAACUCUGGCACUUAGCAUUAGCACAUAAUUACCUUACACAUACAACAUACAAACCGUCUGAGCAGAUGCACAUAGAAUUUAAGUGACUUUUGACAGAACAUACCAGAGAACAAGUUUUAGCACUUGCUCAUAAUGGCUUUAACAGGUUGAAGAAAAAUCUUCACCAGAGUUUACCAGUGUACAAUAGAGCAGGAGCUGAGGAUACUUGGCUGUUGAUGAAAUUGAAAAAGAAAAGGUGAGAAUAAAAAUAAAACCAUAAAUUCGGCUAAUGUCAAGCAGAUCCUGUUCGGGUGUUUGAUUAAUGAUUAAUGAGUCCAGUUAACGAUUAUAUAUAGUAUAUGAUAUAAAAUUCUAUUAUCAUUAGUGAGUGGAAUAAUCAUAUUUUGUCAACUAAGAUCUGUGAAAUAAAAUUUGACUAAUAAUUUUUGGGAUAACUCGCAAUUUUCUAAAAAAAAAUGUUUAGUUGCGUGAAUAUCACCUAACCUGCAUGGAAUGAAGCAAGUGUUGCAGUUUGUUGGCUAAGAAUAAGAAGAUAUGAUUGGUAAUAGAAAUUGAUCCUAUAUAAAUGUUGAAGUUGGCUAUUCUCUCCUUCUCUCAUCCGAAACUCUCUCUCUGUAACUCUCUCUCCACAUAAAACCAAAAAAAAUGGAAGAAAAACACAAUUGAUCAUUAACAACCCCAAAGCAGAGAAACAUGUCAAGUGGCGGUGGCGUAUCGGCGUUGGCAAAGUAUAAGCUUGUUUUUCUCGGAGAUCAAUCCGUCGGCAAAACCAGCAUUAUCACUCGCUUCAUGUACGAUAAAUUCGAUACAACUUAUCAGGUACUCAUCCUCGCAAUAAUCCACAUUUCCUCAGAAUUCAUUUCUAAUAAUCACGUUUCUAAUCUUUGAAUUUUUAGAUUGAUAUUGAUUCAAUGUUUAUAUGUAUCUAUAUGCCUAAUGGAUUGAUCGCGUGUGUUUGAUUUUAUUGUUGUGUUGUUUCUUAUAUUGCAAAUCUGUUGAAAUGCAGGCUACUAUUGGAAUUGAUUUCUUAUCCAAAACAAUGUACCUUGAAGAUCGAACAGUUCGUUUGCAGCUGUGGUAGGUUAUUCUGCAGUUCCGUAAUCAAAUUCCACAAUAAUGAGCUUUUGUUGUUACAAAUUUUCCUCUUUUCCUUCUUCGUUGCAUCGAAACCAUCAUGGUGGAAAAAUAACGCUCAAGUGAUUUACGAAUAC
rnacentral:lncRNA from 1 species